AGAGUUGAUCCUGGCUUAGGAUGAACGCUAGCUACAGGCUUAACACAUGCAAGUCGAGGGGCAGCAUGAUCUUAGCUUGCUAAGAUUGAUGGCGACCGGCGCACGGGUGAGUAACGCGUAUCCAACCUUCCCCUUAGUAGGGCAUAGCCCGGUGAAAAUCGGAUUAAUACCCUAUGUUGUGUCAUGAGGACAUCUGAAUAACACUAAAGAUUUAUCGCUAAGGGAUGGGGAUGCGUCCGAUUAGGUAGUCGGCGGGGUAACGGCCCACCGAGCCCUCGAUCGGUAGGGGUUCUGAGAGGAAGGUCCCCCACACUGGUACUGAGACACGGACCAGACUCCUACGGGAGGCAGCAGUGAGGAAUAUUGGUCAAUGGGCGUAAGCCUGAACCAGCCAAGUAAGCGUGCAGGAUGACGGCCCUAUGGGUUGUAAACUGCUUUUAUACGGGGAUAAAGUGAGGGACGUGUCCCUUAUUGUAGGUACCGUAUGAAUAAGGACCGGCUAAUUCCGUGCCAGCCGCCGC
rnacentral:rRNA from 1 species